CAUCUGUCUCUCAGCCAAUUAACGAGGGGCUAUAUUUGCAUAUUGCCUUUCUAUUGGUGAAACCUGGAGGCUCUGGUUUCCUUCAGCCAAUGGGUCACCUCAGAAGAAACCAGCAGAGUAGACCCAGCGAAACCUUGGAAAUCAAGCAGAACUCGGUCCCAGCUCCCCGCUCGCUUGUGGCUUCAGUCAAGAUUUUCUUUAACCUCUCUGGAGCUGUUUUCUUCCUCUGUAAAACAGGGAACCUAAUCUCUACUUAAAGGCAUGCUAUAGAAGUCAUGGCACACAGCAGCUGGACAGCAAAUCAUCUUUAUCAUGGAAUCAGAGCAAAGGUGGUGAAACAAAGUGUCACAGGGGAGAUUCCCACCGACCACCCAAGCCCCCAGGACCUGGAAAAGCCCAAUGAACAAGUUCAUUUCGCUAGUGGCCUCCAUCUCCUCCCUCCACACACAAGAAAUGACCCAGUCUCCCUUGAACCAAACCUUCUUUUGUUGUCCCAUUAUUUCAGGCAAUCCAGAUCUUCUGGGAAAGGCUUAAUUGCAAGCAACCAAUCAGAUCAUCUUCUGUAACACAGGC
rnacentral:lncRNA from 1 species